rnacentral:rRNA from 1 species
GAUGAACGCUGGCGGCGUGCUUAACACAUGCAAGUCGAGCGAGAAGUUUUGAAAAGAUUCUUCGGAUGAAAUUUAAAAUGGAAAGCGGCGGACGGGUGAGUAACGCGUAGGCAACCUGCCCCAUACAAAGGGAUAGCAUUUGGAAACGAAUAUUAAUACCUUAUGAAACUUAACUAGUGCAUGCUAGGUAGGUCAAAGAUUUAUCGGUAUGGGAUGGGCCUGCGUCUGAUUAGCUAGUUGGUGAGGUAACGGCUCACCAAGGCGACGAUCAGUAGCCGACCUGAGAGGGUGAACGGCCACAUUGGAACUGAGACACGGUCCAAACUCCUACGGGAGGCAGCAGUGGGGAAUAUGCACAAUGGGGGAAACCCUGAUGCAGCAACGCCGCGUGAACGAUGAAGGCCUUUGGGUCGUAAAGUUCUGUUCUAGGUGUGAAAACUGACAGUAACCUAGGAGAAAGCCCCGGCUAACUCU